rnacentral:rRNA from 1 species
UACGUAGGGGGGCAAGCGUUGUCCGGAUUUAUUGGGCGUAAAGAGCGUGUAGGCGGCUAGGUAGGUCCGUUGUGAAAACUCGAGGCUCAACCUCGAGACGUGAUGGAAACCAUCUAGCUAGAGUCCGGAAGAGGAGAGUGGAAUUCCUGGUGUAGCGGUGAAAUGCGCAGAUAUCAGGAGGAACACCGGUGGCGAAGGCGGGUCUCUGGGCCGGUACUGACGCUGAGACGCGAAAGCGUGGGGAGCGAACAGG